rnacentral:rRNA from 1 species
UACAGAGGUCCCAAGCGUUGUUCGGAUUUAUUGGGCGUAAAGGGUGCGUAGGCGGCGGAGUAAGUUGGGUGUGAAAUCCCGGGGCUCAACCUCGGAAUUGCAUUCAAUACUGCUUCGCUUGAGUACUGGAGAGGAGGCUGGAAUUUACGGUGUAGCAGUGAAAUGCGUAGAUAUCGUAAGGAAGGCCGGUGGCGAAAGCGAGCCUCUGGACAGUUACUGACGCUGAGACGCGAAAGCGUGGGGAGCGAACAGG